UACACGUGGACAAUCUACCCUAAGGUGGGGGAUAACCCCGGGAAACUGGGGAUAAUACCCCAUAGACUAUGGAUGCUGGAAUGCUCUGUAGUCGAAAGGUCAGCCGCCUUAGGAUGGGUCUGCGGCCGAUUAGGUAGUUGUUGGGGUAACGGCCCAACAAGCCUGUAAUCGGUACGGGUUGUGGGAGCAAGAGCCCGGAGAUGGAUUCUGAGACACGAAUCCAGGCCCUACGGGGCGCAGCAGGCGCGAAAACUUUACAAUGCGGGAAACCGUGAUAAGGGAACUCCGAGUGCCCGUUAAAUCGGGCUGUCCAUCUGCUUAAAACACAGGUGAAGAAAGGGCCGGGCAAGACCGGUGCCAGCCGCCGCGGUAAUACCGGCGGCUCGAGUGGUGGCCACUAUUACUGGGCUUAAAGCGUUCGUAGCUGGUUUGUUAAGUCUCUGGGGAAAUCUUCCGGCUUAACCGGAAGGCGUCUCAGGGAUACUGGCAGACUAGGGACCGGAAGAGGUGAGGGGUACUCCAGGGGUAGGAGUGAAAUCCUGUAAUCCUUGGGGGACCACCUGUGGCGAAGGCGCCUCACCAGGACGGCUCCGACAGUGAGGGACAAAAGCUGGGGGAGCAAAUCGGAUUAGAUACCCGGGUAGUCCCAGCCGUAAACGAUGUGCGUUAGGUGUAUCGGUGACCACGAGUCACCGAGGUGCCGAAGAGAAAUCGUGAAACGUACCGCCUGGAAG
rnacentral:rRNA from 1 species